CUAGAAAUCUUCUUUACUGUUCAACUGAAGAAGAAAAAAGUCAACUGCGUGUUGGAUGGCCUGAGGGGCUCCGAGGUUCUCAAGGAGUUGGUCUGUAUUGGAGACACCAAGAAGCACAGAGCUGACGCCUUCACUACGCAAGCACCAUGCUGAGCUGUAUGAGGACACUGAAGCCCCUGUGCCUGAAACCAGCAAACCUCCAGCACAGCCGGCAGUUCCCAUGGCAACCUGCAAAGAACCAAUCACCUGGGGACGCAGAACAGCCUGAUGGGAUUUGUGGUGCAAUUAUAGCAGGAUCAAGUCUGAAAGUAUUAUAAACUUCAGACUUGUAGCAUGCUGUAUGAGUGCUAAUAUUCAUAUUUAUUACCCAGAGGGCACCCUGAUGUUAAAAUGACAUAAAAAAAACUGCAGAAAACCU